CCCCGCGUAGGGUAGCAAACCGGACGUGCGUCUGGUUGACCUCCCUAGCUUUCCUUCCUUCUUUUCCUCCUCCUCCUCAGCGGCGGUGCUGGCUUGGCAAACUUUCUGUAAUGCAGUUUCUGAGAGAAGGCGGUGUUGCCACGUAGUCUAUUUAUCGUGAUUUGCUGUCAGUGCACGUGCAGGGCGCGUGCCAAAGCGAUGCCGACGCCGUUAACUCCUUCUCGUUAACGCCAAUGCAUGGGCGGCGCGUUUUUCUUUGUGCCUAUGUUGGUUAAGCAGCGAGAGCAAUGAAUCAGCUUUGCGGUGGCAUGGAGUACAACACCCAUCGGUACAGAAGGACGUGCGCUGACUUAAUUGAUAAGACCACAACAGCGUAAUCAUCUAUGACCUGUACGCAACAGUCAGUGCCCGCCUGCGCGCCGGAGUCACUUUCAGCGACUACGCUGUUUUUUUUUUUUUUUUCUUCAUGACAACUACCUUGAAGACCAAAAAUAAGCGAGCACACCGUGAAGUGUGGUCGAAAACACCUGCACUUGAAUAAUCCGCAGUCAUGGCCGGGUGUAAAGAGGAAAGACAUGGCAACCGAAGAACGAGGAUAGAGGGACAGAUGUACACGGGGAAAGUAAAGCCAGGGCGUUCGUAUAGAACGGA
rnacentral:lncRNA from 1 species